AGCGGUGUAGAGCAGUUCGGAAGCUCGCCAGGCUCAUAACCUGGAGGACGCAGGUUCAAAUCCUGCCACCGCGAC
rnacentral:tRNA from 1 species